UACGGGAGGCAGUAGUGGGGAAUAUUGCACAAUGGGCGCAAGCCUGAUGCAGCCAUGCCGCGUGUAUGAAGAAGGCCUUCGGGUUGUAAAGUACUUUCAGUCGUGAGGAAGGUGUUAAGGUUAAUAACCUUAGCAAUUGACGUUAGCGACAGAAGAAGCACCGGCUAACUCCGUGCCAGCAGCCGCGGUAAUACGGAGGGUGCGAGCGUUAAUCGGAAUUACUGGGCGUAAAGGGCACGCAGGCGGUUAAUUAAGUUGGAUGUGAAAUCCCCGGGCUUAACCUGGGAAUGGCAUUCAAGACUGGUUAGCUAGAGUCUUGUAGAGGGGGUAGAAUUCCAUGUGUAGCGGUGAAAUGCGUAGAGAUGUGGAGGAAUACCGGUGGCGAAGGCGGCCCCUGGACAAAGACUGACGCUCAUGUGCGAAAGCGUGGGGAGCAAACAGGGAUUAGAUACC
rnacentral:rRNA from 1 species